CAGCAGCCGCGGGAAUACGAAGGGGGCUAGCGUUGCUCGGAAUCACUGGGCGUAAAGGGUGCGUAGGCGGGUCUUUAAGUCAGAGGUGAAAUCCUGGAGCUCAACUCCAGAACUGCCUUUGAUACUGAGGAUCUUGAGUUCGGGAGAGGUGAGUGGAACUGCGAGUGUAGAGGUGAAAUUCGUAGAUAUUCGCAAGAACACCAGUGGCGAAGGCGGCUCACUGGCCCGAUACUGACGCUGAGGCACGAAAGCGUGGGGAGCGAACAGGAUUAGAUACCCCAGUAGUCCCUGUCUCUUAUAC
rnacentral:rRNA from 1 species